rnacentral:rRNA from 1 species
CAUGUGGUGGAUGCCUUGGCGAUUACAGGCGACGAAGGACGUGAUAGCCUGCGAUAAGCUUCGGGGAGCUGGCAAAUUAGCUUUGAUCCGGAGAUUUCCGAAUGGGGAAACCCACCGAAAGGUAUCGUAUUCUGAAUACAUAGGGAUACGAGGCGAACCGGGUGAACUGAAACAUCUCAGUAGCUCGAGGAAAAGACAUCAACCGAGAUUCCGAAAGUAGUGGCGAGCGAAAUCGGAGUAGCCCUCGCGUUUUAGCAGUUUGUAUAUCAGAACGGAAUGGAAAGUCCGGCCACAGCGGGUGAUAGCCCCGUAUGAGAAAUGCAGAUUGUGGAACUAGGCGCGAAUAGAGUAGGGCGGGACACGUGAAAUCCUGUCUGAAU